GCUGGCAUAGCUCAGUUGGUAGAGCAGGUCAUUCGUAAUGAUCAGGUCGUAGGUUCAAAUCCUAUUGCCAGCU
rnacentral:tRNA from 1 species